ACGUAGGAGGCAAACGUUAUCCGGAUUUACUGGGCGUAAAGCGCGUGUAGGUGGUUUGGUAAGUAGAGCGUGAAAGCUCCUGGCUCAACUGGGAGAGGUCGUUCUAAACUGCCGGACUAGAGGAUGGUAGAGGGAGGUGGAAUUCCGGGUGUAGCGGUGAAAUGCGUAAAUAUGCGGAGGAACACCAGUGGCGAAGGCGGCCCCCUGGACCGUUCCUGACGCUCAGACGCGAAAGCGAGGGUAUCAAACGG
rnacentral:rRNA from 1 species